rnacentral:rRNA from 1 species
GAUAAACGCUGGCGGCGUGCCUUAUGCAUGCAAGUCGAACGAUCCUUCCCGCAAGGGAAGGGUAGUGGCAAACGGGUGAGUAAUACGUAGGUAACCUGUCCCUAAGCGGGGGAUAACUCCGGGAAACUGGGGCUAAUACCGCAUGUGGUUAUUUAUCGCAAGGCUAAUAACUAAAGUCGUAAGACUCUUGGGGAGGGGCCUGCGUCUGAUUAGCUAGUUGGUGGGGUAAAGGCCUACCAAGGCGAUGAUCGGUAGCUGGUCUGAGAGGAUAUCCAGCCACACGGGGACUGAGACACGGCCCCGACUCCUACGGGAGGCAGCAGCAAGGAAUUUUGCGCAAUGGGCGAAAGCCUGACGCAGCGACGCCGCGUGUGGGAUGAACGCCUUCGGGUCGUAAACCACUUUUCUCAGGGAGGAAUAAAUGACAGUACCUGGGGAAUAAGUCACGGCUAACUACGUGCCAGCAGCCGCCGUAACAC